rnacentral:rRNA from 1 species
AUUGAACGCUGGCUGCAGGCCUAACACAUGCAAGUCGAACGAGUUUUGGACGGGUGACUAAUGUCGUCGAAACUGCCCGAUGGCGGGGGAUAACUACUGGAAACGGUAGCUAAUACCGCAUACCCUCGGAUGUGCCCAGCUGGGAUUAGCUAGUAGGUGGGGUAAAGGCGCACCUAGGUGACGAUCCCUAGCUGGUCUGAGAGGAGGACCAGCCACACUGGAACGGGGGCACGGUCCAGACCCCUACGGGAGGCAGCAGUGGGGAAUAUUGGACAAUGGGCGCAAGCCUGAUGCAGCCAUGCCGCGUGUAUGAAGAAGGCCUUCGGGUUGUAAAGUACUUUCAGCGGGGAGGCGUUAGCCGCAGAAGAAGCACCGGCUAACUCCGUGCCAGCAGCCGCGGUAAUUC